UUUAAUUCGAAGCAACGCGAAGAACCUUACCUAAGCUUUUUAAUUCGAAGCAACGCGAAGAAACUUACCUAACCUUGCGGGGACAUUGGUGACAGGGGGUGCAGUGUGGUCGGCAGCUGGUGUCGUGAGAGGUUGGGUUAAGGCCCGCAACGAGCGCAACCCUUGUCUUUAGUUGCCAUCAUUAAGUUGGGCACUCUAGAGAGACUGCCAGGGAUAACCUGGAG
rnacentral:rRNA from 1 species